CAAUUGUCCCUAUUCUAUUCGCUCUCCCAGCCGCCGCCACCUCAUCACGCCGCCCUCUCCUCGCCGUCUCCUCCUGAUCUCCUCCCACGGCGCUCCUCCUCGGCAACUCCCUCGCCGCAGCCGUGUUCCUCGACGCGGACGCCAUCAGCCGUGCCGAGCCGGCCAGGCUGCGUACUGGGAGCUCGUCCGUAGCCAAGGGGGACAUCUGGGGCCCCGUGCUAACCGUCGCCUUUGGGCAGGGGCGGAUCUACCAUUCUAGCGAGCUCUGGCGCUCGCCAGAGGUGCCCGCAGACGGGAACCACACUGAGCCGGCCUCUGUCGCGGACUCACGGUCCAUGCCCUGAGCGUUGAGCCCCUGAUGGCCUGUCGGCUGUCUUGGACUGGCUCCAAUCGAGACUUGGACUCCCAACUCCGCCGCGGAGCCGCCCGUCAUCCCGUUUCCGUUCCCGUGCCGCCGGCCGCCGCCGGCUCCUGCCCGCUGCGCCGUCCUGCGCCGCGCUGCCCCUGCCCGUGCCCGGCUGCUCAUCGCGGCGUCGCCGUCGCCCUACGUGGCUUGCGCGCCCCUGCGCAGGAUGCAGGCUAGCUGGCCUGACUAAGUGCUCGAUCGAAGUUCAGGUUGCACUGCUGCAGGCUAGCGCGUCUGCGGAUCUGCUGCUACGUCUAGGCGCUAGCUGCGGGCGGCCGGCUGCAAGCCUGAUUGUGAUUGGUGAUUGUGAAGGAAGAAUUGAAGAAGAUUAGAAGAACUGCCCGUUGGGCUCUUCAGGAAACUCCAGAUCACGAGAAAGCAGCAAAUGGUGUAGUGAAGCCCAUCAUAGUUGAUAGGGAGGAUAAUAUCCAUGAUACAAAUGCUGAACAGCCUAGCUCAAAUGGUCAAGAAGCAACAUCAAGAGGUUCUAAUCAAGUGUCUAUCUGAAGAUCUGGGUUUCUCGAUCGGUAGGCCUAUCGUUGCGUACCUCAUCUACCGAUGUCUGGUCCACUGGAGAUCAUUUGAAGAGGAAAGGACCCCAUUGCUCUUCCUAGUCUACCUCACUGUCGUCACGGCGUACUACUUCGAGUGCAGGGAGAGCAAGCGGGAAGAACAGGAGAUCAUGGCCUCGCCUACGUCUCAAAUCUUCUUCUUUUUCCAUUUUUUGUUUGUUUGGAUGACUUGUAUUUUAUACUAGUGUUGAUUUUUUUCUGGUAAUUGUUGCAAGAGAAGAAAUAGCAUAGCAUGUAAAUUGACAAUUUCCAAAGUCAUUCAGAUAAACAGGAUCUUAAUUAGA